rnacentral:rRNA from 1 species
UACGUAGGGUGCGAGCGUUAAUCGGAAUUCCUGGGCGUAAAGCGUGCGCAGGCGGCGCGUUAAGACAGGUGUGAAAGCCCCGAGCUUAACUUGGGAAUUGCGCUUGUGACUGGCGUGCUGGAGUGUGGCAGAGGGAGGUGGAAUUCCACGUGUAGCAGUGAAAUGCGUAGAGAUGUGGAGGAACACCGAUGGCGAAGGCAGCCUCCUGGGCCAGCACUGACGCUCAUGCACGAAAGCGUGGGGAGCAAACAGG